UACGUAGGGGGCAAGCGUUGUCCGGAUUUACUGGGCGUAAAGAGCGCGUAGGUGGCCUUCUUAGUCAGACGUGAAAUCCCCAGGCUUAACCUGGGAACUGCGUCUGAUACUGGAAGGCUCGAGUUCGGGAGAGGAAUGUGGAAUUCCAGGUGUAGCGGUGAAAUGCGUAGAUAUCUGGAGGAACACCGGUGGCGAAGGGGGCAUUCUGGACCGAAACUGACGCUGAGGCGCGAAAGCCAGGGGAGCGAACGGG
rnacentral:rRNA from 1 species